rfam:Gossypium hirsutum cultivar TM-1 chromosome 10, whole genome shotgun sequence
GGGAUUGUAGUUCAAUUGGUCAGAGCACUGCCCUAUCAAGGCGAAAGCUGAGGGUUCGAGCCUCGUUAGUCCCA